rnacentral:lncRNA from 1 species
CGGAAGGAGACCUUUAGGGAAUCUCUGGAGGGAUAACUAAUCAGACUCUCAGAAGAUCGUUGUGAGUGCAAGAUGCCACGGGCACAAGCUCGCCGCUAGUACAUACUGUCUCUUGUGCAAAGAUGAGAGGUUCUAGAUACCAGAGGUACAAGAUCACAGCAGGCACACAAUGCCACACAUGAGAGAUAACUUAUCAGGCCC